AUGAUCCAAUGAGGGUUCAGCCCCAUCUGAAAAAGUGUUUUGAAGGAAUUGCGCAGUUAACUUUUGGAGAGAAUCACAUGAUCGUAGGAAUGGAAUCAACAGAAGGCGAAAAGGUUGCUCUCACGAACCAUAUUGAUGCACACGAAGCAGAUGGACUUGUAGAAAAAUGGCUUUUU
rnacentral:lncRNA from 1 species